rnacentral:rRNA from 1 species
AUUGAACGCUGGCGGCAGGCCUAACACAUGCAAGUCGAGCGAGCGGCGGACGGGUGAGUAAUGUAUGGGGAUCUGCCCGAUAGAGGGGGAUAACUACUGGAAACGGUAGCUAAUACCGCCUACUAUCGGAUGAACCCAUAUGGGAUUAGCUAGUAGGUGGGGUAACGGCUCACCUAGGCGACGAUCGCUAGCUGGUCUGAGAGGAUGACCAGCCACACUGGGACUGAGACACGGCCCAGACUCCCACGGGAGGCAGCAGUGGGGAAUAUUGCACAAUGGGCGCAAGCCUGAUGCAGCCAUGCCGCGUGUAUGAAGAAGGCCUUAGGGUUGUAAAGUACUUUCAGCGGGGAGGCGUUACCCGCAGAAGAAGCACCGGCUAACUCCGUGCCAGCAGCCGCGGUAAUUC